GAAGUACAAGCAAAAGUGAGACAUUUUUCAAGAUUGACCAGGCGAAAUCUCAAAUAGCAAGUGCAAAAUGUACACAUACGAAAUCAAGAAAAAUGCACCACUGUGUGAACAAUGCAAGGCAUUUGAAAAUCAACGGCGCAGUCCGAGCUGACAGGACAGAGCACGAUCUAACUAACAAACGAUCUGUGUCAUCGCAACAAAGCCACAAACAAAGCACCUGGGUGUAGCGUGUGAUUUCGUUGCCAAAUGGAUGUGGCAGGUCUACCCAACGUAGAUGAGUGAAUCCAUGAAGCCUUGCUGAGUCUGGAGCUCAGCAAUGAAAAAUUAAUUCAGACACAGAAAAAAAUUAAGUGCUUCUGGAAGCGUGCGUUGUCUGUCCCUAGAGGUUGUUCUCUCGGCAUUGAGGUCCGCUUUAAAUGUGUCUAUUUUGAGUGGAAGCCGGCAGCUUGUAAUGUGACCUAAGUAACUGCCUGCUGACUGAUAGUGUGAGCCUUAGACCUGCCAUAUGUUUUCUCACUGACAGUGUAUUCAAGUAAAUGUUUAUCAUGAAACAAAAUGUGGCCUGCGAGUCUUCAUCUGAGGAAAGAGCAAAGGGAAAGGACAGGGUCCACGGUGACGGAAGAGGACUUCACAGAACGCCAGGUUGGAAGCAGUUUUAAAACUCAGCGUCUCACCUGGCAUCUGCCAGUGGAUUUACAGCUUCCUGACGGGCAGGACACAGCCGGUGACGCUGGGGGAGACCACCUGGGGGAGGACUUUGAUGGAUUUGUGGAUGAGGAUUGAUCAAAAAAUAACGGGCAGCCUCCAUCUCUUUUCGACAGAUGGGGAUCCUGAUGUGUUCCUGACUGCGUUUGUUAAAGCAAGACCUGUCUACAACUCUCCAGGUGUGAAAUAUUUAGAGCCUUCUCUACAAAUGGCCAUCAUCAUGUGCAACACUGGUGCCACUGCAAUGUGCAGUUUGUAAUCGUCCUCCUGUAUCAAAUAACACAGUGCACAGACUCCAAAAAUCUGAAUCUUUAUUGGAACAAAGUCAGACUAUGUACGUAUAGGAUACUGUGUAUGUAAGUGCUUAUAGUUACAGUAUUUCCCCAAAAUACUGGUGUAGCAUCUGAAUUCAUUUGCAUUGAUUUCCUAAAAAAAAAUAUUGAAUCGUAUUCGUGAUUUGCAAAUAAACAGUCCAUAAAACUCUUAAGAGUGAAAUUGUCAUAUAAAAUCUUCAUAAUAGAACAGUUUUAUCUGGAUUACUUAAUGCUUUUAAUGUGUGAAUUAAAGGCAGCAGCUAUAGUCAAUAUUAAAUACCA